rnacentral:rRNA from 1 species
UACGGAGGAUCCAAGCGUUAUCCGGAUUUAUUGGGUUUAAAGGGUGCGUAGGCGGCUCAUUAAGUCAGGUGUGAAAGCCGGUAGCUUAACUAUCGCAGUGCCUUUGAUACUGAUGAGCUUGAAUGUAGUUGAGGUAGGCGGAAUGUGACAAGUAGCGGUGAAAUGCAUAGAUAUGUCACAGAACACCAAUUGCGAAGGCAGCUUACUAAAGUAUGAUUGACGCUGAGGCACGAAAGCGUGGGGAGCAAACAGG